GACAAGGAAUCUGUUUAUUGUAUUUCUUUUGAUUCAUCAUCCUUCCAUCAGCAGUCCUUUGAUAAUAAUACACAUCCCUCAGGGUUGAUGUGAAGUUUAAAGUGCCGCUACUGGGGAUUAUGGAGGUAAUUAGAGACCCCCACCCCCACCCCCAGUCCUCAGGCUGCGCGGGAAUCGCAGCGGCAGUAACCUCCACCUCACCGGGUUCCCCUGUCAUUCUUAGCCCCCAAACUGGAAGCCCUGAGGAGCUUGGAGCUCCUUUCCCAGCUCAUUUGACACUUGGCCCCCACCCAAAAGGAUUUUUGGGUAUUUUCUUUGAAUUUGGUCUGCAAGGCAAGGGGUAGGGAGAAGGGAGUUAAUUUAGGUGUCUGUGAAGGAAGGCAGUGGGGUCAGCUCAGUUCCAGUGGAUUUCUGAAUACCCCUAAUUUCAGCCUGACAGUGUAGCCCCUAGACGGGGAUGGGGGGUGCUGGGUAGGGGUGUGCACUGCUUUCGCAGACACUGUGUGAAGGCCUUUGCGCCGGUGGGGGCCAGCUGGUGGAGGGCACUUGCCCAGACUGAGAAUAAAGUGCGUCCUGUUUCUGGGGGAGGGGAAGAGGGGCCAAUGGUCUGCAAGAGAAACCUUGAUUCAGGGAAGUUCUUGCCCAAAGGUCAGGGCAUUUUUUUUUUGUUUGUUUGUUUUUUUUUGAGACAGGGUCUUGUUCUGUCACUCAGGUUGGAGUGCAGUGGUGUGAUCUCAGCUCAUUGCAACCUCUGCCUCCCAGGCUCAAGUGAUCCUCCCACCUCAGCCUCCCAAGCAGCUGGGACUACAGGCACAUGCCACUACCCUUGGCUAGUUUUUUUUCUUUUUUUUUUUGGAGGCAGAGAAAAGCACAUGUGGUGCCUGGAAAUAGGGAUUUGGGAAGUUCUUGUUCAGGGCUCCCUGUACCUACCCCAUAUCCAUGGCAAGAUAAAACCCUUUUAAGGAUAGGGCUUUCCUUGUGCAUAUAGGGCCCCCAACAUGGGAAGUCUGUGUGAACUGACUCCCAGGGAACUGGACCUCCCUCCUCUCCUUCACCCCAUCAAUGUGCAGAGGAACACCCUCUGAGCAAAGCCUGCCUGGGUUGCAGUUGGAGAGCCCUGAAGAGCUGGAGGAGGGCCUUUCCCAUACCAUCCCUGCCCAUGGGCCCCCGGCCCCAGCCAGCCUGCAGGGCCUGAGAGCUCUGCAUGGUCCCUGAGUGCUCUGCAUGGUCCCUGAGUGCUCUGCAUGGUCCCUGAGUGCCUUUGCUCUGUGUCUGGGCCUGUAAAACUGCUUGGAGUCCCCAAGAAUGCACCACACUCCUCUUGCAAAAUCACCCUUUAUUUGUGUGGUUUUUUUUUUCUUUUUUAAAAUGAAGGCACCUGCUUCCCUUAAGCUCGGGGCUUCUCAGAGGGCUGGGGGCUGAGCUAGUGGAGAACAGAGACCUGCUGGGGGACCGUAAAGCUUGAACGUUUCCAGGGCUGCUGCUGGCCCACCCCUACCCCAACACCUGGGCUGGGGGUUACGCUGUUCCCUGUCCUGCAAAGAGGGUGGGAGGCUUUGGAGAAAAGACAGUAGGCUGGCUUUGUGAGACCUGAGAUCCAGACAUGCCAUGGCUCUCAGGCAGGGCAGCCCAAAGAGGGCAUUGGCUGCAGGCCUACUGUGUGCUUUACAGACAACAUCUCUUUGAGUUCUCAACCCAGCCCAACGUUUGGCACAUGCCCAUUGGCGAUGAGAAUAAAUGACUUUUUGGAAGUCACCCAGCCUGUGGGCAGAGCUGGCUGUGAACUCUCAGCCCUCCUGCCUCCAAGGCUUAUGUGCCACCACAGCAUCAUCCUGCCUCUCAGUGCUGCCUGGCACUCAGGUAGGAGCCUCCAGGGUAUCUGGGUGACCAGAGCUGCCUUCUCUCCAAAGCUUUCCCCUAACUGCAGGGUGCCUGUGAUUCCACUAUUAGGCUGCACUUCUCUGGGGUCCCUACACCCCCAUGAUGAUGCAAGUGCAAAGCAUCGGAGGUCACACAAUGACCCUGCAGAUAUUCUCAUGCCACUCUGGGAGGCAGGCAUUCUGAUCCCCUUUUAGGGUAUAAAGAAACUGAGACCCAGAGCAGAGAAGGGACUUACUCAGGGCACAGAAGUGGGGCACAUUUGUUCUCAGUUGUUUGCCUGAUGUCUAGAAUAGUGCCUGGUGCAUCACUUGGAUGUUCGUGGGAUGGUCCUUCUGUGCCAUGGAGCAUGACUCAGGACCUGGAGGCAGGAGCAUGGGCCUACACCACCCAUCAUAGCUGCCUCCUGGGCCCACCUCCAAUUUCAGUGGCAGCUGUGUUGGGCAGUUCUGACUCACCUCUCCCUGCCUCAACCCACCUGGAGUGUUCCAUGUAUCCUGCUUUCUUCUGCAGCCCUUGCUCCAGCCUAUGCAGCUCCCAUUGCCUUUCCUCAAACAGCCUGGAGAUGUGGAAGGGGCUUUGGGUGGCCAGAGUGCAUACCUCUGGGGCAGAUCCCAGCCAAUGGGGAGUGGGAGCUGGUGAGUGACUGUUCUGGCCCUGCCUUUCAAGGAGCGGUUCUGGGAGGCAAUUGAAUGCUUUCAGAGACCCUGGCAAAAUGGGGGCCCUAUUGCCUAUACCUGUGACGUUGACACCUACCUUACCUUUUCUCCUUUUAGUCUCUCUCUCCCUGCUCCCUCCCUCCUGCUUCCUGGGAUUUCUCCCAAAUAGAUCACUCAGGCUCUGUGAGCAGAGAACCUAAGCUAAGAAGCUUCUUGGCUGAACCUGCCCCCAACUCUUCAGAGGCAGUGAGGAACUCCUGGGAUGAGAGACUUUGUAGUAUGAAAGGCCUUUGAGAACCACAAAGCUCUGUGUUUCUCAAAGAGAACCAGCUCUGCUUGUGUUAGAGUGGGAAACAGGCCAAGUUAGAGGACUGACUGGCCCAAGGUCCCUUAGUGCCAAGGCAGGACUAGAGCUUGGCAUCCUAUCUCUGAGGCAAGGAUCUAGGGUGAGAAGAGGCUCCAUGCCUGUCUCCUGGAUUUGGUGAAGUGGUGGCAGGAGGAGAAACAUGAGCUGAUGUGCCACACACCUACUAAGCGCUGAGCCCUUCACCCCCGUGGCCUCAUCAGGGAGGCGUGAUGAAGCCUGGCCUAUCAGGAACAGGUGUUUUCUGCUGCUCCAGGAGUGCUCUUCCAUUCCUAAACAUCUUGACUUUGUUCUGUCUCUGAAAGUUCAUUAUGAGAUGUUCAUGCCUUUGGGAUGUAGUAAGUGCUCAUCAGAUUAGUACCAGGACUGUAUCUGUAGAACGCAUGUGUAACAGGUGUCACUGGCAAAUGCACACCAUUAUAGAGCAGGGCGUGUUAAGGGCUCAGCUGGCAGUUCUUGAGGAAAUAGCUUAUGAAAGGUUAAAUCUCUUGGAAAAGGAAGGUGGCAAGGUGUGACUUACUGGAAGAGGAAGGCAAGUCAGGAAUGAGGGAGUGAGCGUGUGUGUAUGUGUGUAUGUGUGUGAGAGAGAUUGAGAGAGAGACAGUGAGAGAGAGCACCACAGGUGUGUCCUGAAAUGGUCUAGAGAUGGCCCUGAGAGGCAGCAAGGUGAAGUGGGGGCGCUGGGAACUUUGGGGAGAGCUGGUUCCCAUGCAGGUACUAGAGAGUGAAGAACAGACAUCUGUGGCUUUCAGAAACUCUGAAACUGCCAAAAGCAUCAAUGCCUUAAGGCAGAACUCUCAGGCCCAGAGAGAAAGAGAGAGUGCAGUGUGGGGUAGAGCUUGAGAGAGAGAGAUGCUUGGUAUAAAUGUUCUAUAACUGAUAUGAAUAUCACUGGCUGUCCUGAACCACCACUCAAGCUCCUGGAGCUCUAGCACCUGUCAGGGGAAACUCCCCACCAGAGCGCAGCAGGACCCAGGCUCCCGGCUUCCUGACUCCUGUUUAAUAGUGAGGGCUCAGGUCUGAGGACUCAGAGCACAUUCUCCAGACUUUCAAGGUUGUAUUGCAUUGUUUCCCCCACACUCCUCCUUUCUAAUUGACCAGUCCCUCAUUUCUAGUCACGGCUGAUGGAGUCCUCAGUGUUCUCCACUCCUGAGGUCAGAAGCCAGGGCUUCUUGAUCUUGGAAUCUGUAGGGCUAUGUGCAUGCCAGGGCCACAGGAAGAUGCUGAGUAUAGGCUUCUUGUUCCUGCAGAGGCUCACCUACAGCUGGUUUUCUGUGCUGUGACCCACAGUCAGCCACAGGCACAACACAUGUGUCUUAACCUCAGGUCAACACUCAAUGGAUAUUUCGUGUUUCUAGCCUCUGGCAGAUCCAAUCAGAAUAGGAGAUAAAAAUGGAGCUUUGAUGGAUCUGGGAAGCAAUUCCAUUUAAUUAAGUAGCAUUUGAAGUUGAUUAAGCU
rnacentral:lncRNA from 1 species